rnacentral:rRNA from 4 species
AAAUUGAAGAGUUUGAUCAUGGCUCAGAUUGAACGCUGGCGGCAGGCCUAACACAUGCAAGUCGAACGGUAACAGGAAGCAGCUUGCUGCUUCGCUGACGAGUGGCGGACGGGUGAGUAAUGUCUGGGAAACUGCCUGAUGGAGGGGGAUAACUACUGGAAACGGUAGCUAAUACCGCAUAAUGUCGCAAGACCAAA